AAUAAGUGCAGUUUUAUACUAUUCAUCUCCAACGUUUGAUCAUUCGCCUUAUUUGAAAAAAUAUGAUUACUAUAUUUAUUGCUAUUAGAAGAUAAAACAUGAAUAGUACUUUAUGUGUGGCUAAUUUUUUAAAAAAAUUUGUAAAUUUUUUAAAUAAGACGGACGGUCAAACGUUGGACACGGAUUUUCACGACUCUACUUAUU
rfam:Oryza rufipogon genomic scaffold, chr12